UUUUGCCUCACAGGGCUUUCUCAACUGGCAAUAGAAACUAUUUAUUUUUUAACCUUUCUAUUGCCAGUUGAGAAAGCCCUGUGAGGCGAAA